GACGUAGGGCGCGAGCGUUGUCCGGAUUAUUGGGCGUAAAGAGCGUGUAGGCGGCCAGGUAGGUCUGCUGUGAAAACUCGAGGCUUAACCUCGAGCUGUCGGCGGAAACCAUCUGGCUAGAGUCCGGAAGAGGAGAAUGGGAAUUCCCGGUGUAGCGGUGAAAUGCGCAGAUAUCGGGAAGAACACCCGUGGCGAAGGCGGUCUCUGGGACGGUACUGCGCUGAGACGCGAAAGCGUGGGGAGCGAACAGG
rnacentral:rRNA from 1 species